GACGAACCACACAAACGUUAUUCGGAAUUACUGGGCUUAAAGGGUGCGUAGGCGGCGCGGAAAGUUGGGUGUGAAAUCCCUCGGCUCAACCGGAGGAACUGCGCCCAAAACUACCGUGCUUGAGGGAGAUAGAGGUGAGCGGAACUUAGGGUGGAGCGGUGAAAUGCGUUGAUAUCCUAAGGAACACCCGUGGCGAAAGCGGCUCACUGGGUCUCUUCUGACGCUGAGGCACGAAAGCAGGGUAGCGAACGGG
rnacentral:rRNA from 1 species